rnacentral:rRNA from 1 species
UGUGCUCUCAAGUGUGCGCGCCCAAACCCAAAUCAACCCUUUUAAAAACGUCGUUGAAUGUUCAUCUAUUGCAGAUUUAAAACAAAAUACAACUUUUAGCAACGGAUCUCUUGGCUCUCGCAUCGAUGAAGAACGCAGCGAAAUGCGAUAAGUAAUGUGAAUUGCAGAAUUCAGUGAAUCAUCGAAUCUUUGAACGCACCUUGCACCCUUUGGUAUUCCGAAGGGUAUGCCUGUUUGAGUGUCUUGAACAUCUCAAAUCCCAAUGUGUUUAAAAGACGUAUUGGGUAUUUUGGUUCUGAGCACUGCCAAUUUAAAUGUUUAUUGGCUUGCUUUAAAUGAAUUAGCUGGGCGCAUUACAAAUUAGUUCUCACAAGCGUAAUACUAUUUCGUUUGGUAAGCAGAACGCUUUGUCUUGGGCCGCUUCUAAAACUUGGCCAUUUUCGUUCGAAAAUAGCUUCUUUCAUCAGACCUCAAAUCAGGUAGGACUACCCGCUGAACUUAA